CUCUGACUGGGGGUGGAAGAGGAAUGAACAAGUCCACCCCAGCGUAAAAAUAAGAUGAAAAUAUAAAAGAAUGUCAGUGUUGAAGGUUACUCCUUUUGAUUUUGCCAAUAUCCCGGAACCAUGUGAGCACAUGAACAUUCCAAAGAAGAAGAUACCUCCAGGUUCUUCAGAUGAGUCUCACUCUGUUGCCCAGGCUGGAAUACACUGGCACCGUCUCAGCUCACUGCAACCUCCGACUCCCUGGUUCAAGCGAUUCUCCUGCCUCAGCCUCCCAAGUAGCUGGGAUUACAGAUAAGAAUAUGGAAUGCUCACUCCACAACAUUGUUUGUGAAAAUCUUCAGAUUUAUUUUAUUGAACAAGGCUAUAAAAGUAUUUACAGAGGAGAGGGAAAGAGAGCACAGUGGAGAGAUGCCUUGGGAGAGAGCUGUUACUGGCCAUGGUGUCAUUCUUCUUCCACAGGGAGAAGCAGAUCCAAACUGAGAAGGGAGAAGAUGUGAUAGUUGAUAUCACAACAAGCUUGAGUUUUGAUUAAUAUCUUGGACAGGACAUUCUAUGUUCCAAAUAGAGAUUGUGUGUUACAAAGUGACUGCAGGACCAAAAAUGAGUAGCAAAUUCAUGAACCUCUUAGAUUUUUUUAAUUUAGGACAUGAUGAGAUUACUGCCAGUGACUCAACUUUUAAAAUACAAGGAAUAACUAAAUAAAUAAAGUAAAAUUGCACUU
rnacentral:lncRNA from 1 species